GGAGGUUGGUGGUGGACGAGCCGCUCGCCAACCGGGUCAGGUCCGGAAGGAAGCAGCCCAGGUGAAUCCGGCGCGGGUCAUCGUGCCAGCCUCCCAC
rfam:Aureimonas sp. AT20, complete genome.